ACUAAGCAAUACUAUACCUCUAUAGAAAAUUUUAUGUUAAAACUAGUAACAAGAAGACAGACCUUCUCUUAAAUGUAAACGUAAAUCAUAAGGACAAACCACUGAUAUUUAACGCUCAAGAACCAGAAGUAAUAACCAACCAAGAAAACUUUACUUUAAUUAACGUUAACCUAACACAAGAGCAUUUCAAGAAAGAUUAAAAGAAAAAGAAGGAACUCGGCAAACUUUAACCUCGCCUGUUUACCAAAAACAUCACCUCUUGAUAAUAAUGAGAGGCCCAGCCUGCCCAGUGACCCAGUUCAACGGCCGCGGUAUCCUAACCGUGCGAAGGUAGCGUAAUCACUUGUUCUUUAAAUAAGGACUAGUAUGAACGGCAUCACGAGGGUUAUGCUGUCUCCUUUUUCCGAUCAGUGAAACUAAUUUCCCCGUGAAGAAGCGGGGAUAAAAUUAUAAGACGAGAAGACCCUAUGGAGCUUCAAACAACACAACAAAUGCCAAACAACUUAAAAAUUUCAUAACUCCAAAUUUACUCAGCAUUAUGAUUGUUAGUUUUAGGUUGGGGUGACCGCGGAGCAAAACACAACCUCCACAUUGAAAGAAUUUUAUUCUAAGCCAAGAACCACAACUCAAAGCAUCUAUAUAUUGACAUUAAUUGACCCAAUAAACUUGAACAACGAACCAAGUUACCCUAGGGAUAACAGCGCAAUCUACUUCAAGAGCCCCUAUCGACAAGUAGGUUUACGACCUCGAUGUUGGAUCAGGGUCUCCAAGUGGUGCAGCCGCUACUAAAGGUUCG
rnacentral:rRNA from 1 species